GGGGGGAGUCAGUGUCACUUCUGAACAGUGUGUUUAUGAGGAAAUGGUUUGAACAAGCAAUGAAACAGCUUAACCAUUAAAAAAAUGUUUUUUUCACAGAUGUCCUGCAACCAUCCUUAAAGGAAAAUGGCAGUUGAGGGAGUAAUUGAAAAGAACACAUUAUUUUUAAAGAAAGAAAUGCAGGGCUUUCCACAUCAGUUUCACCAUGGGUUCCACUCAUGAUAGCUUUAUCCAUUGAAGAGUCUUUGUACAGUUAAGGAAAAUUUGGUUUUCUUGUCGGCAAGAUUUCAGUAGUGUACUUAAAAGGAGAAGGAGAGUGAAGAAUGGAAUCAGUCAAGCUGUAAAUAAUUCUACAGUUGCAAACAAUUUUGAAGUGUAUGUCACUGUCAAAUGGAUUACAUAAAUAUUAUCCAAAGUUUGGGUUACAGCAUUGAGACAAAACUGCAAAUCUAGGAUUAGUGGAGU
rnacentral:lncRNA from 1 species